GGUGAGGUGGCUGAGUGGUUGAAAGCAGCGCUUUGCUAAAGCGCCAUACCCCAAAAGGGUAUCGAGGGUUCGAAUCCCUCCCUCACCGCCA
rnacentral:tRNA from 2 species